GACUCAUUAAUAUGGGAUUACAGAGGAAGGAAUGGUUAAGAAAAAGACAUGGCCUCUGCCUGCUCCAAAAAAGGAUAAGCAGGGCUUCACAGAAGAGGUGACAGGAAUUAUUGCCAUGUGGUUUAUUCCAGCAUCACUGGUUGUUUGCAGCUUUCUAGUUUCUUCCAUCACUCCCAGGACCAGCUUCUCUGCAACUUGUCAGAAGCACCAGCACCAGCCAGGUGGUACCCUCCCUUAGACUCUGACAGCCAGACUCUCCUCCAACCUCCUGAAGUGGUGCAGGAGACAAGUGGCACCCUCAGAGUUCUGUGUCCCAGCCUGGCAGGGCUCCUCCUCUGAGGUCUGGUAACUCUCAGCCAAGAUUGUUACAGUUACUGUCUCCGUGGUACCUGUGUCCCCUUUUUGUUUUUUCGUCCUGCCAAUGCCUGUUUAGCCAAUUAUCUAUAUUAAAUUCUCUCUGUUAAAACAAA
rnacentral:sRNA from 1 species